UUUACCCUUCCCCUUCACACCUUCAGAAAAUCAGAAACUUGCAAGUCAUUGGACAUGUAUUUUCUGAGUUUUCUUUUCAAUAUAUUUUCUUUAGUUUUAUAGAUAUAUAUGUUAUUAUUUUUCUCUCCUCUCAAUCACUCAUACAAGUCCCAGACCCAUCUUUUUCUUUCUUCUUAUUUUCCUUCUUCUUUUCUUCUUCCUUCUCUGUUUUUUUUUCUUUUCUUUUCCUUCUACCAGAUUAGAGAGAGAUGAGAGUUUGAGAUGAGGGAGAGAUGGGAGAUUGGCUGAGAUAGCGAGGGGAGGAAGGGAGAAGACCUAGCCGGUGGGCUGGCCACCGGACUGGGCAGACGGCACUGCCGGGCCGGCAGGCCACGGUCCCAUGUUGGCGACGUCCCCGGAGAGCAUUUUUUCGGCGAUUUCUCCGAUACCCAUACCAUAGGAAGCCCAUUUUCUUCAUGGGUAGAAGGACAUUUCAAACUUUUGUUUAGCAAGAUGGCAGUAUACAUAAUAGUGCUGAGAGACGGAGUGCCAGUAGGCCUAUUGGUGGUCGAGGACCCCCAAAUCUAGCCCUAUGAGUGGGAGACUUGGACCUAUUGUAUUAUAAUGUAGCUGAUGUAGCAGUCUAAUCAUAAUAUCAGUUAGCAGCCUGGGGAUCCUGUCUUUUCCUUGGACCGUAGAGCGACUAGUUCGUUUUAGUACAGCUUGUUUUUUUUGUAGCUGUACAUCAUGCAGUCCUAUGUGUAAUUAGGAGGGCUAUCAACAACUUAGUUGUUGAUUUUUGUGUAUGCCUCCGCACUUUUGUUAGUUAAA